CCAUGAUGGACAAGAUACAGAUGCCGUGGAGAAAACUGCCCAGUGAGAAGUUUCCAACAUGGGGGAUUCACAUCACUGAUGUCAUUUGUACCUUCUCCAGGAUAAUUAGAAAUGGUUUCACGAAGACACGGCACUUGAACCAAAUCUUUGGGGAUAGGAAGCUCUGACAAAUUCUAGCAGAAGAAACAGUGUGAGUAAAGAAGUGACGGAAGGAAUGCACAGCCCAUAUUUGGGAAAUGGGAGGAUUUGCUUUGGUCAAGGCAUGAGGUAUAAGAGAUGAAUGGAAACCGAACUGAAAGAUGGCUACACCAUCUCAGUAGAAACUCUGUAGGAACUCACACAUUAGGCAUUACAGCAUAAGAGAAGGAUUUUUUUUUCCCCAAAAUAAGGGAAACUAUUGUAUAUAUUUCAGGCAGAGCAUAGAUACGAUCAAGACAAAGUAUAAAGACGAAAGUAAAAGAACAGGACUGUCACAGCAAGGGCCCAGCUGAUGUGGCUUUGAAAUGGGACUAAAAGCCCCUACGGAGGGCCUGGAAAGAACACGGAAGAAGAGAGUGGCAUCGAGCCUACGGGCCAGCGGCCAGGCUCUCUCCCAAAUUCUGCUGCUAUGGAUGUUUAAGUCAUUCUUUUCUUUAGGAGUCCCUUGGUCAACAUAAAUCAAACAAUAUCACACACUUAACCGUGGGAUCGAAAUGGACUCUUGCCUGAUAAUUCAUGAGGGAAGGUCUUUUGUUUCUGAUUUGUUUCAACAGAAGAAUUCCAGCCAAUAACUUCAGAAAGGAUAUUAAGAAUUCCAGCCAAUAACUUCAGAAAGUUUAAUAAUUACCAUUUUGCCACUUUGAAAUAGUGGAUCUAGGCUACACUCAUCGGUGAAUGCUGCCAAAUAUCAGGCGAGCCUUUGAGGGCAGGAAAGGGUAGCAUGUCCCCAAGAGAAAGAACUAAAGAUGAAAGGCUUCCUAAUGGAGUGAUCAGUCUGACCCGCUGGCUGAUCUAGGACAGACAGGCAUUGGGAAACAUGGGAUUGGCAGAAAUAACACACCUCGUGACAAGAAACAAUAGGUAGGGUGCACCACCACCUAGGAAGAAUGCUUGCCUAAGAUAAUUGAACCUGAAUCUAAUCACAACUCAAGAUGUAAAUAUCAUUUUACAGGAGAAACGGUUGGAGAAACUGGUUAAAUGACACCCUGAGAAAGUGACCAGCCAAAUCUAAAAUGUGCAAAUUCUACAGGACAAAUAACCCAUUUUCAAACAGAUCAAUGGCAUUAUUUUUAAAAGUGUGCAACAGAAUCGAAUAACAGGGGUUAAGAAACAUUCAAAUCGAAUGCAAUGCCUGGAUCUUCUUUGGGUCUCAACCCGAAUAAACCAACCUUGAAACGACAUUUUUAAGACAAAGAAGUUUGAAGAGUAUGUGAAGUCAAGGAAUUAUGGCAACAUUUUUAGGAUAGUGCCAUGCUGGUUAUCUUAAAAACAAACAAACUAAACAUCCUUAUCAGGUAGGGAGGCACACUGAAAUAUUCACCUACCGGUGAAAUCACAUGAUGUUUAGGAUUUACUUCAAAACACUCCAGAAAAAAAAUCAAGGGGAUAGGUGAAGUAAGAUUUGUAAGAUAUUGAUAACUAUUGAAGCUGGGUGGUGAGUACAUGGGGGGUUCAUAUAUUCAUCUUUUUACUUCUGUGCAUGUUAGAAAAUUUCUGUCUUACAGAGAUGCUUAUUUUAACAGACUCCUUAUAGUGACUAGUUUGGAAAACCUUUCUAUAUUUGUUUUGUAAUUGAUGAGAGAAAAGGGUCAUUUUCACAUAUGGUAUGUGAAUUCGGACAGAGAUGAUGAAGGGACUAAGUACAUUAUUUUACCUACUAUAAAAUGGCACUUUUCUGUACUUAUGGUUUGUGGAGAUCAGAGAUAAAUACCUUUCGUGACUCUGAGAAAGAAAAAAAUUUUUGAACUAAAUUAUCUCCUGGCUUCCACUGCGCACAUCCUUGUAAGCAUCAAGGCCAUAGUACCCUCCGUGAGCCAAGGGAAGACUGGCUCCUCUCCCCAGCUUAUCUGAUUGACAGCAUAACCCAAAAGGCCUGGACCACACACAGCAACAAGCCCCAUAUGCCAGAGUGGAUUCCUCAGGCUGAAACCCGGUCUGUUAAAAGGUUCCCGCCAGAUACUGACGAGCCGACUAAAAAUGUGUUCAUCUAUUUAGUCUCUUGGUCAGCAAAAUUGUUUUUUACGUUUAUUCAUUUUUGAGAGACAGAGACAAGAGCACGAGAGAGGGAGGGGCAGAGAGGGAGACACAGAAUCCAAAGCAGGCUCCAGGCUCCGAGCCAUCAGCACAGAGCCUGACGCGGGGCUAGAACUCACAAGCCAUGAGAUCAUGACCUGAGCCGAAGUCGGACGCUUAACCGACUGAGCCACCCAGGCACCCCUCUUGGUCAGCAAAUAUAACAGAGCAUUGCUUAUGUGUAUUUUAAGAGUGCAGGUCUUUAAACGAAUAGCUUAUCUCCUAACUCAGAUCUCCUCCUCCUCCUCACCUCCAUUAUCAUCACAAUCAUGCUUAUUCUGAAAUGGUCAAAUGGGAAAACAUUGUAGGAGACAGAGCCAGUUACCUACUUACUAUAUAGGAAGAACAGGUGCCCAAAAAGAAUGAUAGGCAGAGUUCAGCACUGACAAAACGUUCCUGUUAUCUUGAGGACAGAUCCUGUUCAUCCUCCGUGGUAGAUGUUGGAAUGUACCCAGAUCCCAUUUAGAAGUAAAGAACUAGAUUGUCAGCUGCCGGAAAUAUUGCCAGCAGGUGGCCCUCAGCUGUCAUCCCCCUUGAGGAAUUACCUUGCCUGAAAACAGUUAUUGUGCCCCAGAGAACCCCACUUCCUGGGAAGCCAAUGAGUGGUUGACUCAGGAGUAUAAAGGCCUUGGCCCCUCAGUGUAAGACAAAUCUGAAAAGCCAGGCCAGCUUCUGAACUCCCCAUGGGGUUGGCUGAAGCCCACCUUCUCUGGUCGAGUCCCACUUCCUUCCUUCCUCUUCCCCAGGUGCUGAUCCUGAGAAUACUCCCUACCAAACUUCAGCGGCUGAUCUCCAUCUCAGAGUGUGCUUCCCAGAGAACCCAACCUGGGACACCUCCAAUGACACCACUCUCCAGAAGAGUUAGACAGAUGCCCUCAAAGGAGCCAUCCUGCUGUCCCCAGCUAUUGUUAGGAGAUGUGAAGCCACGUCUAACUCCUGCCUCGUUCUGCCUUCUCAGGCCACUCAUAAAUAGGUGGCUGAGAGAAGGGAAGGAGAAAUCAAGUCACUGAUACUCACUGCCCAGGAACGACCACCACGCGUCUCACAGAAAGGCGUUGGAGAUGCCAUUGUUGCCAACAUCUCAAUUAACAACUUCUUCGCUGAAAUUACUUUGGCCUAAAUCACUUGGAUACAAAGAAUAUUAAAUGGUUGCCUUGCUCAAAAGUA